GUGCCAGCAGCCGCGGUAACACGUAGGAGACGAGCGUUAUCCGGAUUUACUGGGUGUAAAGCGCGUGCAGGCGGUAUGGUAAGUUGGAUGUGAAAGCUCCUGGCUUAACUGGGAGAGGUCGUACAAGACUGCCAAACUAGAGGACAGCAGAGGGGAGUGGAAUUCCGAGUGUAGCGGUAAAAUGCAUAGAUAUUCGGAAGAACACCAGUGGCGAAGGCGGCUCUCUGGGCUGUACCUGACGCUCAGACGCGAAAGCUAGGGUAGCAAACGGGAUUAGAAACCCCCGUAGUCC
rnacentral:rRNA from 1 species